CGGGCAAAAUAUAUAUUUUUCCAAAUCAAUUUUUUUCAGUGUAGAACUUGUGAAGCUAAUUCUUCAUCAUUUCUUUCAGAUCAUCUGAGUUUUAAAGAUUCACCUAAUCAGAAACAUCUUUGAGAAACUGCAGCCUAAACCAACCUCUGUUCAGGUGGCGCCACCUGCUGGCCGCUCAUCCUCAUGGCGACAUGGAGGAGAGCUACGGAGCCAAAUUAGGGACAAAAGGAUUUUCUCAUUUUUGGAGCCGUUUCUUCGUCCUCCGUCACGCUGCAGUGUUGAGUCGUAGUGAUCCAUUCCAACCAGCAGGUGGCAGCAUAACGUCAAGAAUCGACCAGGAAGCGUCUGACCCGCAGACCGGAAUCUGGUCGCUGCUCAGUUUAUUGAAGGAGUUUAAACUUCUGCUGUGUUUUUAGAGGCGGUUUGAAUCAAAUCAGUUUAAUUUUCUGUUUUCUGGCUGACUCAGCAUUAAUCUGAACAUGACGGGUCAAAAAACAAUCAGGAAGGUGAGAAGAUCAACUUCCUGCUGCUUCCAAGACUGUUGUUCUGCGCUCUGAUUGGCCGACGGCGGCGCGUUUCCUGGGCGGUGUGCCAAGCUCAGCUGGCCUCCAAGCGCUCCGGCUGACCUCAUAAUGAGAUAAUGAUGACAAUAUGGCUGAACGGCGGCGUGUUGGACGGCUGCCACCUUCCCGCCUCUCGCUCAGUGUUCGGGUCUCUCCGUGUCUGACGGAUUCGCAGCAGCGCGGGAAACUCUGGAGGAAGAUCUGCAGACGGGAAACGUCUCCACAUUUCAGCGUGACUGAAACAUGGCCGUCUCUGAUGGGUUCCUCAGGCUGAAGCUGGACUCCACUGACCGCCAAGCUGCACAGGUGCUGCUGGCCACGCCCCCAACUCAAUGUUUACACUCGCAUGUGAAAAUGAC